AUCUGGCAAGAAUGAUGAUAUAUUUAUCAGUAUGAAGGAUGCAUUUCCUUGUGAACUUCUAAACUUUUUGCUUAUUGAUAUUCUGACAGGCCAGAU